CACUGAUCCCACCGUCAAGCAAUAAGCCAUCAGCUAUUUCCAGCGUUUAAUAUAUAUAGGCUAUAUGGGCAUGAAGACGCAGUAUCUUGACUGUGGUGCUCAGCACAUGUUGGUAUUUAAAAGUCAUCUGGCUGUGAACCAGCCACCGAAAUACAAGACGUUACCUUGGAUGAAGAGGACGGAGGGGCACCAUUAAAAUCACAACAGGAAGUCUGCUUGACACAACAGCGAACCGCAUCUCAAGGCUUCCUCUUCCGCAUCACUGAGCCAGAUAAAAACGCUGCAUUCAGGCACCGCCAACGCUAAACGAACACACACACACACACACACACACACACACACACACACACACACACACACACACACACACACACACACACACACACACACACACACCUGUCAGGUAUGGGGUUUGUCUGUCUCACACUGUGCAUCUGUCUGUCUGUGUUGGUAGACAGUUUUCCAGACAUGUUGGUUCUACGGCACAGGCUUUCAGUUAAAGUGCGGAUGUGUUUUUAUGCUUAAAGAGUGAAAAAAUAAUUAAGAAAUUAACAUUUCAGACCACUUGAGCCCAUUUAACAUCUUAAACCAACUGAAAUCAAGGCGAAUUUAGUUAGAAAUCAGUUUCCACAUGUGUCCUAGCACAGUAACCACAGGUGGAGUUUAUCACAUUAACUAUGAAAAUGUUCCUCUUAAGUUUUUAUUUCAAAAUAUUGAAGUCUAUAAUUUGAAACCUAAUAAACUAUUUGCUUUAAAAGUGUGCUUCUAUAUUUCUUUAAAACAUAUUACACUUGCUUUGAUACUUUAUGCAUUUUUAAGAGGACAGGGAGCACACAAAAAAAUGUUUUGCGUUCCUUCACAAUAGUUUUUGUUCCCUCGCAAAAAUGUAUGCGUUCACUUUAUAUUAUGUUGGAUUUUCUUGCAACUAUU